rnacentral:rRNA from 1 species
UACGUAGGGACCAAGCGUUGUUCGGAUUUACUGGGCGUAAAGGGCGCGUAGGCGGCCUGUUAAGUCAGACGUGAAAUCCCUCGGCUCAACCGGGGAACUGCGUCUGGUACUGGCGGGCUUGAAUUCGGGAGAGGGAUGUGGAAUUCCAGGUGUAGCGGUGAAAUGCGUAGAUAUCUGGAGGAACACCGGUGGCGAAGGCGGCAUCCUGGACCGACAUUGACGCUGAGGCGCGAAAGCCAGGGGAGCAAACGGG